CAGCCGUCCCAGCGCCAUCCGGUGUGGAAGAAACUCUGGGAGUCGCCUGCCCCCGCUAAGGUGAAGAUUCAUGCGUGGAAGGUCUUACAUGGAUUCAUACCAUGUUAUGGGGUAUUGGCAAAUCGCCACAUUGAUACGUCAGAUAGCUGUCCUAUGUGUGCAGGUGGAUGCGAAGACAUUAUGCAUGCUCUCUUCACUUGCCCUAGGGCAGCCGAAGUAUGGAGAUGUCUGAAUCUUGACGGUUUCGUGGACGAGGCGUGUGAUACUGACAGGGCGGGCUCGGCAGCGUUGGACUAUAUUUUAUGUGCUCCACCUCGUCAGACGUUGAUCCAAGAUAUUCUAGCCCAAUUCCUAAUCCUUGUGGGUAUCUGGUACAUUUGGUGGGAGCGUAGGCAACAUGUCCAUGGGGAGGAAGUGCAAGCCCCAGCCCGAACGGCGUUGUCGAUUGCAGCACUGGCAGCAAAUUAUUCCAAGGCGAUGAAGAAGAAUGCGAUUGAGAGAUCAUCUGGUUGGAGGAAACCCUAGGAGGACUUUGCCAAACUGAAUGUAGAUGCAGCUUUCAAUGUGAACGACCUUCAGGGAGCUAUAGGAGCUGUGCUACGGGACUACAGAGGUGGAUUCAUCGCUGCUUCAAACGAGCGACUGGAGCAUGUUGCUGAUGCUGGGACAACGGAAGCACAUGCACUACGGCAUGGGCUCUUGCUAGCGCAGCGGAUGGGGAUCACCAAGCUCAUUGUGGAGUCCGACUGUAUGGAGGUGAUUGAAACUAUGAACAAUGGUGGGUUUACGGCAUCGGGUGCAGCGGCAAUCUAUUCGGACUGUGUGGUCCUCAUCAUAGGUUAUACUUCAAUUUUUUUUUGUUCAUUGCCCUAG
rnacentral:rRNA from 1 species